ensembl:lncRNA
UCAUUUAUGACUGUAAAGCAUGUCUGUGUGUGUCAAAAUCUUGAUUAAAAUCGAAAUCGAAAUUAUUUUUUUGUCCAUAUUGCACAGCCCUAAUCUGGAGAGAUACAGGAGCCUUUCAAUCUGUGAUUCUAUAUGAUGUCCUGUCCUUCAAUGAAAAGUCAGCUCAAAGUUCAGAGAUCAAGCAUUGGAAUAAGAUUUUUUAUCAGGGGAGAACACCCAACAGAAAGACCCAUGAUUCACCAACGUAAGUCAAUUUUACCCACUUACUGUUUGAAAACCUACACUAGGAUAGUAUUAAGUAUGAUUUUCAUACCAUUACUGAUAGAACGUCUGGUGGUUGGUGUCUCUAUAUUCACGUUCCGUACAAUAUAACCACCAAUAACUAGGGUACUUUCAUCAGGUUUCUCAGUGGGUGCAUCUCUGAGUGGGGAGAACCUGUUUAAUGUUUUGAUUGGAACAGAAGAGUGGUAUUUUGACCCACGACUAUGCUGCCUCACUGUCACCCAGUUGCCCUGCUGCAGAGUCUCUGUUGCCGGAACCGAACAAUGUAUAGGAAUCCCUGAGCUAGACGCAUCCAAAGCCGUAUCUAGAGCAUGUCUCUAAUUCUGAAAUCUUCUCUGUCAGCCUUACUAUUUCCCUGCAUUUAUCACAUGUGAAUUAAUCCUGCCUUCCAUGUGUCAAAAAUAAAACCUGUGUUUCAUUCACCUAUUAAUCAGCUGGUCCCGGUUCCUCCCCCGCCGCGUCUCAUAGAUGGGGGAACUUAUUUGGUUAACUGUAUUCUGGAUUCGAGAAGAAGGGUACGCGGAUUCCAAUAAUUGGUGGACUGGGAGGGUUACGGUCCGGAGGAGAGAAGUUGGGUUCCUACUAGGGACAUUCUGGAUCACUCACUGAUCAAUGAUUACUAUCGACAGGUAAGUCAGUUUAGGAACGCCAGGAGGCAUUCCUAGGGGAGGGGGUACUGUCAUGGUUCAUGGAUUCGCUGUCUCUCUCUUGACUUGUUUAGUGAGCAGGUGUUUGUUUGUGGGCGUUGUCCUUGAUUACAGCACCACCUGCGUCCCAUUGUGUGUGUCUAAUUAAGUGCAGUAACUGGUGUCUCAUGUUGUCAGAUCAUUGUGGUUCUUCCCUGUGUUCCGUUCUGUUCCCUGGCUGUGUUUGAUUGUGGAUUCCCCCUGUUGUUCUUCGUUGUGUCUUCUUGUUUCCUGCACCGGAAUCACGAGAACCUUCACUGGGAUUACAGCACUGGAUCACCAAGAAUUAUCACUGUUGUCUACCGAGGUCCCUGCAUCAUCCACCAUCAGAGCUUGUGACCGUUGCCAAUCUCCAUCUGUGUUCAUCAUUCAUUGUAGUCUGUUUGACUGACCUAUUAUAUAUCUUGUCAUUAAAUCAUCCUGAUGCAUCCUGCCUCUGUGCCGUGAAAAACCCCUGUUAUUUUAUUACUGACUGUGAAAGUUUGUUUAUUUCAGUAAUUCAACUCAAAUUGUGAAACUUGUGUAUUAAAUAAAUCCAACACACAUAGACUGAAGUAGUUUAAGUCUUUUGUUAUUUUAAUUGUGAUGAUGUUGGCUCAUAUUUAACAAAAACCUAUCCAAUUUACUAUCUCAACAAAUUAGAAUAUUUCAUAAGACCAAUAAAAAAAUUUUUUUUAGCGAACUGAUGGCCUUCUGGAAAGUAUAUUAAUUUACUGUACAUGUACUCAAUAAAUGGUAGGUACUACUUUUGCUUUAAUUACUACCACAAUUCAGCGUGGCAUGGAGGUGAUCAUUUCUGAAAAAUUAAAUCAGCAUCUUCAAAAAGCUGGUCAGCAGAAGGAAGCAUAAAGUGCUCCAAAAUUUAUUGGUAAACGGGUGCAGUGACUUUCAAAAAUGACAAUGGACCAUCACCAGCAGAUGACAUUGCACCCCAGAUCAACACAGACUGUGGAAACUCAGCACUGGACUUCAGUCAACUUGGGCUAUGAGCUUCUCAACCCUUCCUCCAUACUCUAGGACCUUGGUUUCCAAAUUAAAUACAAAACUUGCUCUCAUCUGAAAAGAUGACUUUGGACAACUGGGCAACAGUCCAGUCCAGCUUUUGAUUGACAAUCCUCAUAAGGCUGCAGUUCUCUCGGUUGGUUGUGCAUUUUUUUUUUCCACACUUUUUCGUUCCACUCAACUUUUUUGUUAUUUUGUUAACAUGCUUGGAUACAGCACUCUGUGAACAGCCAGCUUCUUUGGCAAUGAAUGUUUGUUGCUUACCCUCCUUGUGAUUGUCUUCUGGACAACUGUCAGAUCAGCAAUCUUCCCCAUGAAUGUUUAGCCUAGUGAAUCAAACUGAGAGGCCAUUUUGAAUUUAGUUUUGAGUAGAUUAGCUGAUUGGUAUUUCACCAUAUUCUAAUUUGUUGAGAUAGUGAAUUGAUGGGGGUUUUCUUAAAUGUAAGCCAAAAUCAUCACAAUUAAAAGAACAAAAAACUUAAACUACUUCAGUCUGUGUGCAUUUUCUCAAGAGUUUCACAAUUUGAGUUGAAUUACUGAAAUAAAUGAACUUUUCCACGACAUUCUAAUUUAUUAAAAAGCGCUUGUAUACUUGAUAUCAAAUUUGAAAUCAAUCUUCUGCAAGUUACCCUAUUUUAAAGACACAGAUACACAUAAUGAGCAAAUGUUUAAGACUGAGAUUUUUGUAAUGGUAAUUAAGCAAUAUUUAUAUGUAUAAAAAUAAAAGCCUAUAUAAAAUAUGUUCAUCAUAUAAAUUUUUUUUUUUUUUCAAGACUUCUAAAUUCAAACAAAUUCAAAACAACAAAAUGAAAGAAAUACAACAAAAUAGACAAAUAAAUGGAUUAAUGAAACCUGUGUCAGUCUUUUCUCUUUCUCUUCUUUCAAUUUAAAUUACCUCACAAACUUAAAUGUACCUUUCCACAUAAAGUGAAUAAUUGUUCUAUAGCUAGGGUUGCCACCCGUCCUUAAAAUAUGGAAUCGUCCUGUAUUUGAGAAUAAAAUAGCGCAUCCCGUUUUGAAUCAAUAUGGGAUGGGGUUUGUCCAGUAUUUUCAGAGUUGUCUUCAAUGGAGCAUCUCAGGCAAAUCAUCCCACCGGUAUUCUGUGAAGACUCAUCCUAUUCUACCCCUGAUUAGGUAAUACUCACUGCAAUCGUUGGAUUGAUUGAUU